AGGACUAACGCUGGCGGCGUGCCUAACACAUGCAAGUCGAACGAGGGGUAGCAAUACCCCUAGUGGCAGACUGGUGAGUAACACGUAGUCAACCUACCUCUUAAUGGGGGAUAACUAGCCGAAAGGUUAGCUAAUACCGCAUACGAUCGUCGAGUGGCAUCACACGACGAUGAAAGGAGCAAUCCGUUGAGAGAGGGGACUGCGUCCCAUUAGUUAGUUGGUGGGGUAAUGGCCUACCAAGACUCCGAUGGGUAGCUGGCUUGAGAGAGCGACCAGCCACACUGGAACUGAGACACGGUCCAGACUCCUACGGGAGGCAGCAGUGAGGAAUUUUCCGCAAUGGGGGAAACCCUGACGGAGCGACGCCGCGUGUGGGAAGAAGGCCUUCGGGUCGUAAACCACUGUCGAGGGGGACGAUAUUGACGGUACCCCUGGAGGAAGCCCCGGCUAACUACGCGCCAGCAGCCGC
rnacentral:rRNA from 1 species